UUUUCUUCUUACAGAUCAAGUUGAUUCGGAAGAGACUUCCGGAUCGACUUGAUUCGUAAGAGGAAAA
rnacentral:pre_miRNA from 1 species